AACGAACGCUGGCGGCAUGCCUAACACAUGCAAGUCGAACGAUGCCUUCGGGCAUAGUGGCGCACGGGUGCGUAACGCGUGGGAAUCUGCCCUUGGGUUCGGAAUAACUCAGAGAAAUUUGAGCUAAUACCGGAUGAUGACGUAAGUCCAAAGAUUUAUCGCCCAAGGAUGAGCCCGCGUAAGAUUAGCUAGUUGGUGGGGUAAAGGCCUACCAAGGCGACGAUCUUUAGCUGGUCUGAGAGGAUGAUCAGCCACACUGGGACUGAGACACGGCCCAGACUCCUACGGGAGGCAGCAGUGGGGAAUAUUGGACAAUGGGCGAAAGCCUGAUCCAGCAAUGCCGCGUGAGUGAUGAAGGCCUUAGGGUUGUAAAGCUCUUUUACCAGGGAUGAUAAUGACAGUACCGAAAGAAUAAGCACCGGCUAACUUCGUG
rnacentral:rRNA from 1 species